ACUGAUUAGCAGAAGAUAUCCUCGUUAAAGCAGUUAUAAUCAAAACUACCAAACAUAUGGAUACAGAUGGUCACAAUAAUAUCAGUAUAGGUAGCACAACACAUAAAAGUGAGACAAGCAAGUUGUAGUGCCUUCCAAUCGCUUUCCAAGAACAUAGAGCACUUGCUGUCACUCAGCAACCAAUUCAACAAAGUUUGCAACAUUAUCGUGCAACAAAAUCAUGUACACUUUAGCUCAAAUAUGACUCCUCCAUCUGCUAUAGGAACUGCAUAUUCUUCUUCGGUAGUAGAUAUUUUACCCUUCCUUUUCUUUUGCACAAGAUAUUUUAAUCAGGAAAGAUAUGGUGUAUCUGACUGUCCACCUUAUCAGGAACUUUUUACAACACAGAUGCUAUUAUAAAUAGUGCUACAGAAGAUACAAGCAACCAAGCGAAGAGCUUAGUUAGAAUACCUUCAAAAAGAAAGAAAAAAAAGUGCUUAAUCAGGAAAUGGAGUCUGGCCGCAAGCGUAGAGUGUCCAAAGGUAAGUUCAUAUCCUUCUAUAGAGCACCAAAGCCCUCAGUGCAAUAUGCUAAUAAGAUCAUCCCUACUCCAACUAUCCCAACUGCCUCGCUGGGUUACCUCGUGCAAGAUCAGUCUGUCAUGCCAUCAACCAAGCCAAAGGCUUCUUCCUUGGUCAAAAAGGAAGGAAUAGGCAACUCGGGUAGCUAUAAUGACGCAGCCAACAGCAUAGAUACCAUCAGUGAGGUAGAUAGGAAAGCUGCAAACUUCAUUGCCUAUGUUCAAGAACGAUUCAAGCUCGAGCGAAUUGAUGAGGACUGGGGGAACUAUUAGUAGGUGCACCAAAGAAGGUUCACUGCAACUGGAUGUAGUUAUCAGGUAGCUCAUUCGACUUGUUUUACUACUGAUAGUCCUACUAGAAGUAAUAAGAUGAUGCUGUAAGCAGUAGUUGUGAGGGAAAACAAUAGGCUCUGUUUACAUUUGUUACAGCUGAGUAGCCUGAAACAGAGUGAAAUUUCAUGUAACCUUAUUGCAUAAUAACAUCUUGUAUAUUUUGAGCAAUCAUUCUCUCCCACUGUGAAUGAUCAUCAUAGAAGGUAGGACUCAGAUCUGGCUUGUGUCAGACUCUACUAGUAUGUAAAAUAACCUUCCUUCCUUUUCUUUAAGCCGCACAAUAGUUGGUAGAUGGAAGGCAAAGGACAUGUUCGAUAUACAGGCUGAUUCUUGACAGACCAUAUACAGUGGUUAUCAAAAGACAACUACACAAGAUUGGACAGAGUCUAGAGAUAAGUAUUCAUUUUGUUCUGGUGGACCAAACAAAGAAUUCCAACUUUUCCUAAGCAUGCUUUGGCCACAGAAUUGUGUUAACUGUUUCUUGUCAAGAUGGGUUGAGAUGGAUGACAAAAAGGAGCUCCAGGUUUUCCAAAAUUUCAUAAUUUAUACCAUAAAAAUAAAUUUUUGACAGUGGAUGAGCAAAUGUUGAUUAAAAGAAAGCAAUUGAACAUAAACUUAUAUGUGUACAUGUAUCUUCACCUGAACAUUAUAUAUACACACACAAAAAAGAAAAGAAGUAACAUUUUUAACAUGAGCAGUAUUUUUAAACUUGAAUAUUUUUCUCCGCAAUCGUGGAGACUAAAGUGUAAAAGAAAAACAUAAGAAGCCCUCUCUUCCCUUAAUUUUACUUGGCUAGGAUCUUAUCACCAUCUUUAGGGGGUGGUAUCAGGAUGACAGCCUUGAAUCUUCCAUGAAAACUAAUGAUGAAUACUUCCUAUCUUGAAAGUCAAUGCAGUG
rnacentral:lncRNA from 1 species